rnacentral:tRNA from 1 species
GCAGUGGUGGCUCAGUGGUAGAAUUCUUGCCUUCUAUGCGGGAAACCUGGGUUUAAUUCCUGGCCAGUGUA